GCAAGCGGUGGAGCAUGUGGUUUAAUUCGAAGCGACGCGAAGAACCUUACCAGGUCUUGACAUCCCGAUGCUAUUUCUAGAGAUAGAAAGUUACUUCGGUACAUCGGUGACAGGUGGUGCAUGGUUGUCGUCAGCUCGUGUCGUGAGAUGUUGGGUUAAGUCCCGCAACGAGCGCAACCCCUAUUGCUAGUUGCCAUCAUUCAGUUGGGCACUCUAGCGAGACUGCCGGUAAUAAACCGGAGGAAGGUGGGGAUGACGUCAAAUCAUCAUGCCCCUUAUGUCUAGGGCUACACACGUGCUACAAUGGUGAGGACAAAGAGACGCAAGACCGCGAGGUGGAGCAAAUCUCACAAACCUCAUCCCAGUUCGGAUUGUUCUCUGCAACUCGAGAACAUGAAGCUGGAAUCACUAGUAAUCGCAGAUCAGCUAUGCUGCGGUGAAUACGUUCCCGGGUCUU
rnacentral:rRNA from 1 species